GAGGGUAUAGCUUAAGUGGUAGAGUGCAUGCUUAGCAUGCAUGAGGUCCUGAGUUCAAUUGCCAGUACUGCCA
rnacentral:tRNA from 1 species